GAAGAUUUUCAGUCUUAGUCAUAUGCUUCAUAAUGUCUAGAUAUGUUCUUCGACAGGAGAUACGCUCUAGUCUAGUGCACGGCCGUCAGCAUGGAAGAAUCUAGCAACAUAAACAAUCUGUCACAGAGUCAACAAUAUUUAUUAUACAAUGCCAU